GGUGGUGGCAUUUAGCAUUCACUUUGAUGUAGCGACUGGCUUUACUGUUUAGUAUAUGUUACUACUCUAUCUCUUCUUGAGAUUUUAUAAGUA